CAGCUGUCCUGUUUCUCUUUGAACGCAGGUGGUGUUAGCUGGGAAGCCUAUGGCAGCAUUUCCAUUGGUCUGUUGUUCUUCAGUGCUGUAAGAGUUCCCCCCACCAGCUCCCUGUGGCCGCAGCAGGUUGUUUCCUGGAGCUUCCUCUCGUUCCAUCCUCGGUUUCAAAAUCCUUUUCGUGGGCACCAGCCUCUAAACACACACCAGAACACUUGCCUGGAACUUGGAAAACUUCAUUUCCGGCUUCUUUGGUGUCAAAGUGGGUUUGACUCCAGCAUUAUUCUGGUUCACUGGAUAGCAGAGCACUGUGGUCACCCCUGCGGGAGGAACACCUCUCUGCCCUUCACCACUCUUCUUUGUCCUGCGUCUCAUCAGAGGGGUCAAAAAUUCAGUAGGGAAGAGGAGCGCUCGCUAUACCAAUGCGUAAGUGCUAUACAUACUCCUGACAAGCUGCUGCUUCUCUUACCUUCUCCCCACUCUCUCCUGAAACAACAAAAAAGGCAGUGUGUUCCCAGAGCCGGGGAUGGUGUGGUCAGGACUGAUGGGGACAGGUCCUUCAGCCCAGGGAUGGGCAGGACAGCCAGGACAGGGCAGCAGGGACUGGGGGCAUCAUCAGGAGGAGCUGUGCAAGCCCUAGGUGGGAUGCCCAGCUCCUGUCCUCCCAGGCACAAGCAGUGACCCCUUUCAGUGCCUUCCCUGCCCAUCCCGCUUUAGAAGAGUGGGGUUAUAAAUAGCCAACUGCAGUUUAAGGCUGAGUUUUUCAGUACUGCUAAACCAUAGAGGUCCCUGAACAUUCUGGCAAAAACGGUUGUGGGCUGGGGGUUGGGAUGGAGGAUAGUUGAUGCCAAACAUCUCUAGAAGCUACUGCAUUUCCUUAUGGAGAACUGAGGUGUGAUCAUUCUCUGCUAUAGGAUAACCUAAGGCUCCUGUCUCUAGCCAACAGAAAUUCCCAGCAGGAACAGGGCAGCUUUUCCUAAGUGCUGAUUUUAUGUCACCAAAUGAAGAAGCAUUAUUUGUGCAUCUCCCCUCUCUGGCUGGCCAGUGCCAGACACCGGCAGAGCUUGGGAGCAGCCCAGGGCAGAUCCCCCCGGCCAGCCAGCCCGGCUGCACCCCUGUUUGCUGUCAGGAUAAACGAGUUUGCAGCUGUUGUUAUAGAGAUAAAUUAGGACCAAAGGUUGGUUUUAAACACUUUUUUUUUUCUUGUUUUUGCAAGAGAAACAGAAGAGCUAAUGGAGGAAACGCAUUCCUUACAGCAUUAAUAAUGUAGCUGAUGUGCCUAUUGCUAGGGUAAAUGUUGUUGGUGAUUAAAUAGAGACUGGUGAUAAAUCACUAAUAAGGAUAAAUGUUCAUCCAAGACAAAUUGUGAGCCAAGCCCUCUUUUUCUUGCUGUGCAGUCCAGGCAUCCGAACAGCUUUGCUGAGUACUCAGGGACAAUUGCAGAGCAGAAAUGAAGCUUGGAGGCUGCAGAAAGAAUCUUUUUUUAUUGCUGUUAUUAUUCCCAAAAAUGCCUCUACAGCCAUGUCUGCAAUGCCAACUGAAAGGAGAACCAGGAAUCCAUCUGUAGUCCUGGGGGCCAUGAGCACACCCCCAUUGCUCAGGGGUUGCCCCUGCUUAUGGCACAAAGUAGAGCUUGGGGAUAAAGCCAGCAGCUGAGCCUUGUCCCUCUUUGCCAUAGCAG
rnacentral:lncRNA from 1 species